rnacentral:piRNA from 1 species
UGACAGGAGAGUGUCCUGAUGUGCUUGGG